rnacentral:rRNA from 1 species
GAUGAACGCUAGCGACAGGCCUAACACAUGCAAGUCGAGGGGCAGCAUAAAGGUAGCAAUACUUUGGUGGCGACCGGCGCACGGGUGAGUAACACGUAUGCAACCUACCUGUAAGAGGGGAAUAACCCGGAGAAAUUCGGACUAAUACCGCAUAAUACGGCUGAACUGCAUGGUAUAGUGGUUAAACACUUAUGGCUUACAGAUGGGCAUGCGUAUGAUUAGCUAGUUGGUGAGGUAACGGCUCACCAAGGAAACGAUCAUUAGGGGUGCUGAGAGGAAGGUACCCCACACUGGUACUGAGACACGGACCAGAAUCCGACGGGAGGCAGCAGUAAGGAAUAUUGUUCAAUGGGCGAGGGUCUGAACCAGCCAAGUCGCGUGAAGGAAGAAGGUUCUAUGGAUUGUAAACCUCUUUUGUAAGGGAAUAAAAAAGAGUACGUGUACUCUAUUGUAUGUACUUUACGAAUAAGGAUCGGCUAACUCCGUGCCAGCCGCCGCGGUAA